AGUGAGGAAUAUUGGUCAAUGGGCGAGAGCCUGAACCAGCCAAGUCGCGUGAAGGAUGAAGGUUUUAUGAAUUGUAAACUUCUUUUGCAGGGGAAUAAAGUGUCCGACGUGUCGGAUUUUGUAUGUACUCUGCGAAUAAGGAUCGGCUAACUCCGUGCCAGCAGCCGCGGUAAUACGGAGGAUCCAAGCGUUAUCCGGAUUUAUUGGGUUUAAAGGGUGCGCAGGCGGGUUGAUAAGUCAGCGGUGAAAGUUUGCAGCUUAACUGUAAAAUUGCCGUUGAAACUGUCGAUCUUGAGUGCAAAUGAGGUAAGCGGAAUGUGUUGUGUAGCGGUGAAAUGCUUAGAUAUAACACAGAACACCGAUUGCGAAGGCAGCUUACUGGGAUGCAACUGACGCUCAUGCACGAAAGCGUGGGGAUCAAACAGGAUUAGAUACCCUGGUAGUCCACGCAGUAAACGAUGAAUACUAACUGUUUGCGAUAUACAGUAAGCGGUACAGCGAAAGCGUUAAGUAUUCCACCUGGGGAGUACGUUCGCAAGAAUGAAACUCAAAGGAAUUGACGGGGGCCCGCACAAGCGGAGGAACAUGUGGUUUAAUUCGAUGAUACGCGAGGAACCUUACCCGGGCUUGAAAUGCUAUCGACGGACUUGGAAACAGGUCUUCCAGCAAUGGCGAUAGUGUAGGUGCUGCAUGGUUGUCGUCAGCUCGUGCCGUGAGGUGUCGGCUUAAGUGCCAUAACGAGCGCAACCCUUAUCAUUAGUUACUAACAGGUCACGCUGAGGACUCUAAUGAGACUGCCACCGUAAGGUGUGAGGAAGGUGGGGAUGACGUCAAAUCAGCACGGCCCUUACGUCCGGGGCGACACACGUGUUACAAUGGGGGGUACAGAGGGUCGCUACCACGCGAGUGGAUGCCAAUCUCGUAAAGCCUCUCUCAGUUCGGAUCGGAGUCUGCAACUCGACUCCGUGAAGCUGGAUUCGCUAGUAAUCGCGCAUCAGCCAUGGCGCGGUGAAUACGUUCCCGGGCCUUGUACACACCGCCCGUCAAGCCAUGGAAGCCGGGGGGACCUAAAGUACGUAACCGCAAGGAGCGUCCUAGGGUAAAACUGGUGACUGGGGCU
rnacentral:rRNA from 1 species